rnacentral:rRNA from 1 species
CGAAUGAGGAGAUUCAUCGUCAGCUUAUUCAGUAUUAAUGCAGGCUAUGAUGUGAUAAUAGAACCCUUGUGGUCACUAGAUUAUACUUGCUUGUAUUAUUUUUGCUGGGUAUGUCGGCGUGCACUUCUCCUCUAGUAGAACGUCGCAACCCGUUGGAUGUUUAUCUAUGGCUUGAAUGGUAGCCUUUGAUAUUUUUUAUAUUGAAGACCUUCGAUGUCCUGAUAAACUGUUUGACGGUAUACAUAUGGUAUUGAGCCGCAAUUAUUUGCGUUAGACUUGCCGCAAGUAUGAUUUUAUUCUAGUAGUGCGGAUCUAAUGCCGUCGCUGGACAAAGUCUGCUGUUAGCUGUGUA